ACCAGGUGAAGCUGACUAAUCCUCACUCUUUGGCACAAACCGUAGGCUCUAUGCGUUCUUGUGUACCUUGAGUUUGUGUUUAAUAAUCUCUUUCGAGGCCUAUUUGAUUUUAGUGUAUCCAGAGCUUCCAAAAUUUUAAGAUCACUGCAUAGUUGUCCAUUGUGUGAAGAUACCAUAAUUUAUUUAAACAGUCUUUACUGGUGGACAUUUAGCCUCCAGUGUUUCUGCUGAAAAAUCUGGUUAUAGUCUUAUGUGUUCUAAAUGACUAAAGUCAAAGACCAGUGACUGGUGGAGCAAUCAAGCUAGCUAAAGAGUGUUGAGAACACUGAUCCCAAGCAGGACCUGAAGGACUCCUUUUCCUGCAACAUGAUUAAUGCAGAAUGUUGACUUCACACUUCACUGGCCCAGUUGUGAUCAAACCCAGGAUCCCUGGAUGUUACAGUACUUCCUACAAGGAGCAGAGACAAAAGUUUUCAAACUUUGGAUGUAAAUGAGCCACUCCUUCAAAAGGAUCCUGGUUUGGGCAGCCUGGGUGGCUCAGCAGUUCAAUGCCACCUUCAGCCCAGGGUGUGAUCCUGGAGACCCAGGAUUGAGUACUGUGUCGGGCUCCCUGCAGGGAGCCUGCUUGUUCCUUUGCCUGUG